ACCGGGCAUGGUGGCGCAUCCCUGUAAUCCCAAGCAGCUUGGGAGGCUAAGGCAGGAGGAUUGCAAGUUUGAGACUAGCCUCAGCAAUUUAGCAAGGCUCUAAGCAACUUAGCGAGACCAUGUCUCAA
rnacentral:SRP_RNA from 1 species